GUGCUUGCUUCAGCAGUAUAUAUACUAAAAUUGGAACAAUACAGAGAAUGUUAGCAUGGCUCCUGCACAA
ensembl:snRNA U6 U6 spliceosomal RNA